rnacentral:rRNA from 1 species
GAGUUUGAUCCUGGCUCAGGAUGAACGCUAGCGGCAGGCUUAACACAUGCAAGUCGAGGGGUAACAGGUAGCUUGCUAUGCUGACGACCGGCGCACGGGUGAGUAACGCGUAUACAAUCUGCCUUGUACUGAGGGAUAGCCCAGAGAAAUUUGGAUUAAUACCUCAUAGCAUAUAGACUCCACCUGGAGAUUAUAUUAAAGGUUACGGUACAAGAUGAGUAUGCGUUCUAUUAGCUAGAUGGUAAGGUAACGGCUUACCAUGGCAACGAUAGAUAGGGGCCCUGAGAGGGGGAUCCCCCACACUGGUACUGAGACACGGACCAGACUCCUACGGGAGGCAGCAGUGAGGAAUAUUGGACAAUGGGCGAGAGCCUGAUCCAGCCGUGCCGCGUGCAGGAUGACUGCCCUAUGGGUUGUAAACUGCUUUUAUACAGGAAGAAACACUCCCUCGUGAGGGAGCUUGACGGUACUGUAAGAAUAAGGAUCGGCUAACUCCGUGCCAGCAGCCGCGGUAAUACGGAGGAUCCAAGCGUUAUCCGGAAUCAUUGGGUUUAAAGGGUCCGUAGGUGGAUAAUUAAGUCAGAGGUGAAAUCCUGCAGCUCAACUGUAGAAUUGCCUUUGAUACUGGUUAUCUUGAGUUAUUAUGAAGUAGUUAGAAUAUGUGGUGUAGCGGUGAAAUGCAUAGAUAUCACAUAGAAUACCAAUUGCGAAGGCAGAUUACUAAUAAUAUACUGACACUGAUGGACGAAAGCGUGGGGAGCGAACAGGAUUAGAUACCCUGGUAGUCCACGCCGUAAACGAUGGUUACUAGUUGUUCGAACUUCGGUUUGAGUGACUAAGCGAAAGUGAUAAGUAACCCACCUGGGGAGUACGUUCGCAAGAAUGAAACUCAAAGGAAUUGACG